UACGUAGGCAGCAAGCGUUGUUCGGAAUUACUGGGCGUAAAGGGUGCGUAGGCGGUCGGGUAAGUCUGGCGUGAAAUCUCCAAGCCUAACUUGGAAACUGCGUUGGAUACUAUCCGGCUCGAGGAAUGGAGGGGAGACUGAAAUACUUGGUGUAGCAGUGAAAUGCGUAGAUAUCAAGUGGAACACCAGUGGCGAAGGCGAGUCUCUGGACAUUUCCUGACGCUGAGGCACGAAAGCCAGGGGAGCAAACGGG
rnacentral:rRNA from 1 species